GCCCCCUCCCUCCCUCUCUCUCAGGUGAUUUAUGACUUGUCAGAUUGGUUUCUGCUGCAGGGAGUUCUGGGACGCCGUCAAGGUGCCCACUGGUCAGAUGUCCAUGGCUGUGUCAUACUUGCCCAGGUGAUCGAACCACGAGCUGUCAAUCACAAAGAGGCCGCCGGCGAUAAUGGGCGUCCUGCCAAGCGGGCAUCAUCAUCAUCAUCAUCUUAAUCAUCAUCAUCUUUAAAGUGUCUUUGUGAGGAUGUAUCUCAGAGGAUGCAGAAUUGAGGGGCGGCAGCCAGUCCUUGUUGACCUCACAGUGACUGUCCAGGAAGGUGAGGACGGUCGCCCCGGCAGCAUCAGCGCCGCGCACUCUGGACCGGAUCAGACCUGCACACACAAUACACCAAUAAACUGAGUGGACAUAACCAUUUGUGGAAGGAUUGUGGGUAAUGCUCGUUUCUAUGCCGCGAACCAGCAUCAUCCUAACAGGGAGAUGAACCUCCUUGUUCCUGUCGGACAUGUUGGUCUUGUGAGUGAGUGAGGAGAAAUCGAUGCAGCGCUAUGAGACGGGCAAGGAAGCAAUCUUUUAACAGGCCCGUCACACUGCAUGAGACAGGAAGUGACUCUGCACUUCUCUGUCCAUGCGUGUGUGCGCCUGCGAGCUUGUUAGGUAGGCCAGUGUUGUCUUCUGUUUGAAUUAAACGCUCUGAUCAAUACUCA